UACAGAGGUCUCAAGCGUUGUUCGGAAUCACUGGGCGUAAAGGGUGCGUAGGCCGCACGGUAAGUCAGAGGUGAAAUCCCGGAGCUCAACUUCGGAAUUGCCUCCGAUACUGCCGUGCUUGAGGACUGGAGAGGAGAUUGGAAUUCACAGUGGAGCAGUGAAAUGCGUAGAUAUUGUGAGGAACACUAGUGGCGAAGGCGAAUCUCUGGACAGUUCCUGACGCUGAGGCACGAAGGCCAGGGGAGCAAGCGGG
rnacentral:rRNA from 1 species